UAAGCGGAGGAAAAGAAACUAACAAGGAUUCCCCUAGUAACGGCGAGCGAACAGGGAAGAGCUCAAAUUUGAAAUCUGGCGUCCUCCGGGCGUCCGAGUUGUAAUCUAUAGAGACGUUUUCCGUGCCGGACCGUGUCCAAGUUCCUUGGAACAGGAUAUCAAAGAGGGUGACAAUCCCGUACUUGACACGACGACCGGUGCUCUGUGAUACGUUUUCUACGAGUCGAGUUGUUUGGGAAUGCAGCUCAAAAUGGGUGGUGAGUUCCAUCUAAAGCUAAAUAUUGGCGAGAGACCGAUAGCGAACAAGUACCGUGAGGGAAAGAUGAAAAGCACUUUGGAAAGAGAGUUAAACAGUACGUGAAAUUGUUAAAAGGGAAACGAUUGAAGUCAGUCGUGUCUGGGAGGCUCAGCCGGUUCUGCCGGUGUAUUCCUCUCAGACGGGUCAACAUCAGUUUUGUCCGACGGAUAAUGGCGGCGGGAAAGUAGCACCUCCGGGUGUGUUAUAGCCCGCUGUCGCAUACGCCGGAUGAGACUGAGGCAUGCAGCUCGCCUUUAUGGCAGGGGUUCGCCCACUUUCGAGCUUAGGAUGUUGACGUAAUGGCUUUAAACGACCCGUCUUGAAACACGGACCAAGGAGUCUAACAUAUCUGCG
rnacentral:rRNA from 1 species